AGUGAGAGCACUGAGUGUGGAACCAGAAAAUAGAAAACAUCCAAGUGGCUUGUGCUCUGAGGCUCAGAAUCGUGUGACUCACAAUUCAGACAUGAGGGCAAGAAUACUGGAUGGGUUGCCAUGCCCUCCUCCAGGGGAUCUUCCCAACCCAGAGACUAAACCUACAACUCCUGUGUCCUCUGCAUUGGCAGGACAAGAGAACUGGAACAUUUAUUCAGAACAGUGUCAGCACCAGCGAGGACACGGGUCAGUUUCAGGAAGGGCUGAUCUUUAGCUCCUGUCACCUACUGUGGCCAGUUGGAUUUGCUCUCUGUCCUGCUAACAGAGCACAUGGACACCAAGCAAGGGAUCUGCUGCGGCAGGUGGCCAGAGCCCCAGGCCGUCCUGUAGACUGCU